AAUGUCAAUCGUUUCAUCGUGUUUUCAAUCGCGGUAGAAAUCACAUCGUUUUCGCCCUAGGUUCGCACUAACAGCUGUCAAAACGUUUUUUUAUUGGCUCGGGUCGAACCCGGAUCCGCCCUAGGUUCGACCCAAACACAACAAGGUUCGCUCUGCCGAUUUUUUGCGAUCCAACCUGAGCGGGGUCCAACUGUCAAAAAUGGAUUGUUUACGUUUUUGUAAUUAUCAAAAUUAACUAUUGUAGAAACAUAUUAGUAACAAAAGAUGUUUAAGAAAGCAUUUGGCAUCAUUCAUUGGAUUACUAAUGAGACUUCUUUUUGCCUUUUUGCAUUAUAAGAAGUUAAAUUUGAUGAAACUGUGUGGCUGACAUGUCGAAUGUAAGAAUGCCACAGUUGACUUGACUCGAACCUGGAUCCGUUUUCGUUCGUUUAUUGCGAGUCGGGUCAGCUCUGACCCCAGGUUUAAAACCGAAAACGCCAUUAUUCGACAUGUUCUGAGGAAAUAGUCUGUGAUAAACUAUUACGAUGCGUAUUCAUUACGAGCUGAGGCCUUUGUUUUGUAACCUAAUCGCCCCACCUGCUGUCUUCCAGAUGAGAUUUAGGUGCACUCGGGAAACAGUUAAACAAUAAUGAACUCCAUGAUUAAUAUACUACUACACCACGCAAUCUUGGAGUUAUGAUAUAAUCAGUUCAAGAAUUUAUCAACUCUGGCGGCGAAAAGAAGUGCAUGCAUGCUCGCAUUCUCCGUUUGCUCCUGACGGGUGGCUCAGUAGUUAACAAUCUGAACGGUAUGAAGAAUAUCCUGACGAACGGCGGGACCAGUAUGUUUCGGGAAAACUUCAUCAACGUUAUGGAUGACUAUCAUCUGGGUGUUUUCAGUGGACGCAAAAAGGAUGAACAACUCGAGUAACAAAUCCCAAUCCUCUAAAUUGAAUAAUAAUCGAACACCUUCAUUCAAGUUGGUAUUUCUAAUAGAUUCUUGGAAGAAGUACAUAUACAUAUUCAUUAAAUAAUAAA
rnacentral:lncRNA from 1 species